AGGCUGAUUAGAAUCUCUGGGCGGCAGACCCAGGCAUUAGUAGUUUUUAAAGCUCUCCAGAUGAUAACGGUGUGCACCCAAGUUUCAGAACCACUGAUCUUAGACUCCAGAGUGUUUAUUAGCUACCCAAGCCGGUGGUUCCCAAGGAGCGGGAAGAACUUGGACGCUGAAGUAACACCUGGAGGCUGUUGCAUUGAGCCAGCUUUUUUUGGAGAGGGCGUAGUGACAAAGGCUAAGAUUUGAGAAUUUGAAGUCAGCAAGAAGUUAGAAAUGCACACGACUCAGCCUGGGGCGCCGUGGAAGGGACAUUGCCUUAGUGAGCAGACCUCAGCUUUUCAACCCCCCAACCCCGCAGUCAUUAUUGCUGGGUUCCCCGAGUUGAUUGGGCCCUCAGGAACUGACUCACUCCAAUCGUGGUUUGCCUCAGACUUACCCUUUCGAACAGCUGAUGAAAGAAUCUCAGGACCUCGUUGGAAUCCUGAUUCAAAUAAACCGACUGUAAAAAAUCUUUUUUGAGACAAUCAGAAGACAAAAAUUUGGACACAGAGAGACAGACACACGGGGGAGAAGGCAUUGUGAAGGCAGAAGCAGAGACUGGAGUGAUGACUGCCAAGAAUCGCCAGCAAGCACCAGAAGCUGGAAGAGACAGGGAACAUCUUCCCAUAGAGACUGAGAAGAGAGCGUGGCCCAGCCGGCCGACACCUUCAUUUCAGACUUGUAGGCUCCAGAACAGUGAGAGAAUAAACUUCUGUUGUCAGAAGCCACCCAGCGUGUGGGAGUUUGCUGUGGCAGCCCUAGGACACCAAGAAAAUGUGCCAGAAACAUUUGCUCAUUUAACCCUACCACCCACCCCCAGGAGGGAGGAAAUGUUACUAACCUCGUUUCCCAAGCCCAGUUUCAAAAGUGUCUGAGGAAGUGGAGAGAACCAGGCUUUCAACCUGGGCCCCCUGGGUCACAGCCCAUGUUCUUAACCAGGAGGCCAGACUUGCCCCUUCUGCUGUUUGGAUGAACUAACAGCCCUCUCCUAAGUAUGAAAAUUGAUAGAAAAACUUGGGUUCCCACUAGAAUGCCUAUAGUAAAUAAAACAGACAAUAACAAGUGUUGAGGAAGAUGUGGGCAAAUCGGAACCCUCAUAUACUGCUGGUGGGAAUGUAAAUGGUGGAGCCACUUUGGAAAAUAGUCUGGUAGUUUCUUGAGUGGUUAAACAUAGUCACCACGUGAUCCAGGAACUCCACUCUAGACAUAUAUGCAAAAGAAAUGAAAAUAUAUGUCCCCCAAACACUUGUGAAGGUUCAUAGUGGCAUUAUUCAAAAAUAAUAAUACGGGCCGGCCCAGUGGUGCAGCGGUUAAGUGUGCACGUUCCACUUCGGCGGCCUGGGGUUCGCCGGUUCAGAUCCCGGGUGUGGACGUGGCACUGCUUGCCACACCAUGCUGUGGUGGGCGGCCCACAUAGAAAGCAGAGGAAGAUGGGCAUGGAUGUGAGCUCAGGGCCAGUCUUCCUCAGCAAAAAGAGAAGGAUUGGUAGCAGUUAGCUCAGGGCUAAUCUUCCUCAAAAAAAAAAAAAUAAGAAUUUUAAAAAGUGAAAACAAUUCAAAUAUUCAUCAAUUGAUGAAUGGGUAAAUAAAAUAUGGUAUAGGCAUACAAUGGAAUAUUAUUCAACCAUAAAAUAAAAAGGGCAAAGUGUUGAACAUGCCACAUCAUGGAUGAACCUCAAAAACU
rnacentral:lncRNA from 1 species